CGUAGGGUGCGAGCGUUAAUCGGAAUUACUGGGCGUAAAGCGUGCGCAGGCGGUUUAGUAAGACAGGCGUGAAAUCCCCGGGCUCGACCUGGGAACUGCGCUUGCGACUGCUAAGCUAGAGUACGGCAGAGGGGGUGGAAUUCCACGUGUAGCAGUGAAAUGCGUAGAGAUGUGGAGGAACACCAAUGGCGAAGGCAGCCCCCUGGGUCGAUACUGACGCUCAUGCACGAAAGCGUGGGUAGCAAACAGGAUUAGAUACCCUGGUAGUCCACGCCCUAAACGAUGUCAACUAGGUGUUGGGAGGGUAAAACCUUUUAGUACCGGAGCUAACGCGUGAAGUUGACCGCCUGGGGAGUACGGCCGCAAGGUUA
rnacentral:rRNA from 1 species